GACGAACGCUGGCGGCGUGCUUAACACAUGCAAGUCGAACGGAGUGGCGAACGGGUGAGUAACACGUGUGUGUCCUGCUCUGCACUUCGGGAUAAGCCUGGGAAACUGGGUCUAAUACCGGAUAGUGUGGGAUGUGCCCGUGGCCUAUCAGCUUGUUGGUGGGGUAAUGGCCUACCAAGGCGGCGACGGGUAGCCGGCCUGGGAGGGUGGACGGCCGCAUUGGGACUUAGACACGGCCCAGACGCCUACGGGAGGCAGCAGUGGGGAAUAUUGCACAAUGGGCGGAAGGCUGAUGCAGCGACGCCACGGGGGGGAGGACGGCCUUCGGGUUGGAAACUCCUUUCACCAUCGACGCGGUAGAUGGAGAAGAAGCACCGGCUAACUACGGGACAGCAGCCGCGGUAAUUC
rnacentral:rRNA from 1 species